UUAGCCAUGCAUGUCUAAGUAUAAGCAAUUAUACCGUGAAACUGCGAAUGGCUCAUUAAAUCAGUUAUCGUUUAUUUGAUAGUACCUUACCACUUGGAUAACCGUGGUAAUUCUAGAGCUAAUACAUGCUAAAAACCCCGACUUCGGAAGGGGUGUGGUUUAAUUAGAUAAAAAAACCAAUGCCCUUCGGGGCUCCUUUGGUGAUUCAUGAUAACCUAACGGAUCGCAUGGCCUUGCGCCGGCGACGGUUCAUUCAAAUUUCUGCCCUAUCAACUUUCGAUGGUAAGGUAUUGGCUUACCAUGGUUUCAACGGGUAACGGGGAAUUAGGGUUCGAUUCCGGAGAGGGAGCCUGAGAAACGGCUACCACAUCCAAGGAAGGCAGCAGGCGCGCAAAUUACCCAAUCCCGACACGGGGAGGUAGUGACAAUAAAUACUGAUAUAGGGCUCUUUUGGGUCUUGUAAUUGGAAUGAGUACAAUUUAAACCCCUUAACGAGGAACAAUUGGAGGGCAAGUCUGGUGCCAGCAGCCGCGGUAAUUCCAGCUCCAAUAGCGUAUAUUAAAGUUGUUGCAGUUAAAAAGCUCGUAGUUGAAACUUGGGUCUGGCUAGCGGGUCCGCCUCACCGCGUGCACUUGUCCGGCUGGACCUUUCCUUCUGGAGAACCUCAUGCCCUUCACUGGGUGUGUUGGGGAACCAGGACUUUUACUUUGAAAAAAUUAGAGUGUUCAAAGCAGGCCUUUGCUCGAAUACGUUAGCAUGGAAUAAUAGAAUAGGACGUGCGGUCCUAUUUUGUUGGUUUCUAGGAUCGCCGUAAUGAUUAAUAGGGAUAGUCGGGGGCAUCAGUAUUCAAUUGUCAGAGGUGAAAUUCUUGGAUUUAUUGAAGACUAACUACUGCGAAAGCAUUUGCCAAGGAUGUUUUCAUUAAUCAKUGAACGAAAGUUAGGGGAUCGAAGACGAUCAGAUACCGUCGUAGUCUUAACCGUAAACUAUGCCGACUAGGGAUCGGGCGAUGUUUCUAUCUUGACUCGCUCGGCACCUUACGAGAAAUCAAAGUUUUUGGGUUCUGGGGGGAGUAUGGUCCGCAAGGCUGAAACUUAAAGAAAUGACGGAAGGCACCA
rnacentral:rRNA from 1 species